CAUGAGUCAUGAAAAAAUGUUUUGUGUAUUUCCUGUUGCCUUUUUGUUGUUAUAAUUUAUAUAUGGAUUGUUUAUGAACACUUUCUUGGCUUUUAUUUGUAUUUUCAUCUGUUCAGAAACAAUAUUUAGGACUUCGUAGUAUCUGAUGAUAAAUAUAGAAUAGACAUAUAUAACUUUGAAUACCUUGGCUUACAUGAAAACUGAAUUUAUUAAAGGAGCCAUCUCGAGCUACACCUGUCUAACAAUGCUUUGGUAAGUGUGGUUGUUUAUAUGUAUAAAAAAUUAUAACCAUGGUGUUAUUUUAAACGUCAGUAUUUCUUUCUUAAAACGGCAUUCAUUUUUACAGCAUUUUCUUAAUGAAUGGAACUGGGAAAUGUUUUGUCAUGUUUUUAGUGAGCACAUAAAGCAAAAGUGUCUUCCAAAAUUUUUAACAAAACUUAUUAAAUGCUUCAUUUCUUAAAUCACUGUGUUUAUAGGCACAUAACAAUUUUAUGGUUAGAAGUUUAAACUGUGUAUCUUACUGUGAAUUUACUAAUGUUUUUCUCAUCUUCCACUAAGAUGUUUCUCUUGCAGGGGAAUCUUUCAUUGAGAUGAUUGAAAUCGCUGCAGUGAGAAUGGAAAUUACUUGGGCUCCUUUCCUUUAAAAAGCUGCAUGCAAGAACUGUGUGAGGUUUACCUGCAUGGGCAGCACCAUAGCCCAUGAUUGAAUGGAACUCCUUCUGCAUUGCAGCUCUGAGCUCCUAAGGAUUGUUCCUGAUGUAAGAAGGGAAGGCUCGCUGGUUUCAGUUCAGGUGCUUGUUUUCUGGCAGGCUUAGGAACUGUGUGGUAAAAAGAUGCUUAAUUCAUGCAAAAGAGAAAGAAAAGAUAGGCCUGCUUGAAAAUAAACUGAGACUAGUAGCAGUAUAGGAGUGAAGACAACUAGUGAGAGGAGCAUGUCUAAAAAUCUAAUGUAGAAAGGUUGGAGCUGAGUACUAAUUGGGGCAGGAUAGAUCUGAUGAACAGGAAAACUGCAAGGAUUGGGACAGGUUGGGCAAAGAUUUGGGGGUUUUGUUUGUUUCUUGAAACUGGAAGAAGCAGCAGCCUGACAGAAGGGUUCUGGCCUGAGGCAAAGAGAAUGAGUCAGUCAUGGGGAAGGGGGCUUGCACACCUCAGAUCGUUCCUAACAUUCACUAGAGCACUCUGCACUUCAGAUCCACGAGGGAAUGCAGACUGUUAAUUAGCAGCUUUUGCUCUCAUCUGUGAAAUCACUGUAAAUUUCAUCCCCCCCAUCAUAAUUCACACAGAAGAGGGCAACCUACGUGGCUACUUCAUGAAUUUUGGUCCUGAAAAGAAAUCCCGGAAUAACAGUAGUUGAGGUUGGAAGGGACCUGGAGAUCAUCUAGUCCAAGCAGGGUCAGGCAGAGCAGGUUUUUCAGGGCUGUGUGCAGUCAGGUUUUUAAUACCUUCAAGGAUGGAGGCUCUGCAACCUGCCCUGUUCAGUUAGAAUUUCCUGCAUUUCAUUUUGUGCCUGUUGCCUCCUGUCCUGUUACUGGACACAACUGAGAAGAGCCUGGCUGUGUCUUCUUCACUCUCCCUUACCCCUGUUAGCAGGCAUUUGUAAACUUUGAUGAGAUCGCACACACACAAGCCUUUUCUUCUCCAGGCUGGAGUCCCAGCUCUCUCAUCCUUUCUUCAUGUGAAAGAUGCUUCAGUUCUGUCAUCACCUUUGUGGAAGUAAACAAAAUGUUUCAACUAAUAUGGGAAUUGGAACUUAAAGGGGGAAAUGCUUUUUGGGGG